CGCGUAGGCGGCCGCUCAAGUCGGGGGUGAAAUCUUUCCGCUUAACGGGAAAAGAGCUUUCGAUACUGGGCGGCUGGAGGGAGGUAGGGGUGCGCGGAACUUCCGGUGGAGCGGUGAAAUGCGUAGAUAUCGGAAGGAACGCCGGUGGCGAAAGCGGCGCACUGGACCUCCACUGACGCUGAGGCGCGAAAGCCAGGGGAGCAAACG
rnacentral:rRNA from 1 species